CCUACGGGUGGCAGCAGUGGGGAAUAUUGCGCAAUGGGCGAAAGCCUGACGCAGCGACGCCGCGUGAGGGAUGAAGGUCUUCGGAUCGUAAACCUCUGUCAGCAGGGAAGAACGGUCACUGUGCUAAUCAGCAGUGAAUUGAUGGUACCUGCAAGGGAAGCACCGGCUAACUCCGUGCCAGCAGCCGCGGUAAUACGGAGGGUGCGAGCGUUAAUCGGAAUUACUGGGCGUAAAGCGCUCGUAGGCGGUAUGUCAAGUCAAGGGUGAAAUCCCCGCGCUCAACGUGGGAACUGCCUUUGAUACUGGCAAACUGGAGUGUGUGAGAGGAUAGUGGAAUUCCAGGUGUAGGAGUGAAAUGCGUAGAUAUCUGGAGGAACACCAGAGGCGAAGGCGACUAUCUGGCACAUAACUGACGCUGAGGAGCGAAAGCGUGGGUAGCAAACAGGAUUAGAUACCCUGGUAGUC
rnacentral:rRNA from 1 species